rnacentral:tRNA from 1 species
AAUAUUUAUCAAUUAAGCUGCUAACUUAAUUUUUAGUGAUUGAAAUCAUUAAUAUUUCU